rnacentral:tRNA from 1 species
UGCUGCUUAGUUCAAUGGUAGAACGUCCGCCCAAAUCGGAAAAAGGUUGUGGGUUCGACCCCCACAGCAGCAACUA